rnacentral:lncRNA from 1 species
GUUUUUGUUCUCGUAUUGGCAUCCUUGGUGAUAUUUAGCGCCCUCUGAUUAUUUUGCGUCUUUGAUGGUGCUACAUAGCCUUCCCGGUUUGGUGCCUUCUUUUGAUAAUUACUUACUUACUUUAGUGGGAUCUUUUUAAAGUAUCGAAAACUUGCAUUUCCCUAGUGUCAGUCUUAAGUUAACAUGCUGUACGUACAUUUUUUUUGUCUCCUUAUCAAGUACUGUAUACACUAGUAUACAUACCUUUCUCUCUUUUCAUGGUCUUAGUCUGUGUCAUUUCAAAUAGGGCAUUCACAUUCACCACAAUGGUAUAUGCAGUCAUACACAGAACUGUUACUGGUUGUUAAGCUAUUGAGGAGUAUGACUAUUAUUAGGUGGCAUCUUGGUACUUAUUCUAUUAAAGAUAUUCUGUGUACUCCACCUAUCCUUGGUAAAAUAGGGCAUAUACACUACAUUAAAAUGAUAAGUCUUAACAGUUUAAUCGUGCUUCCCAACAACUCGGUUGCUAAUAAUGACUCUCAGUGAAUUACUGUAGUGGGGUGUCAACCAGGGUCCCAGGUUCAAUUCCUGCAGCAUGACAGAAGUGUUUGGGUAAAUUUUCCUUUUAGUCAAUGCCUCUGUUCUCCUAGCAGUAGAUGGCCAAGAGUUAGGAAACUGUUGUGGGUUGCCCCCUGGGGAAGGUCAGUUGGCCUAGGGGGACCUCAAUAAGCCUAACAGGGAUCAUGUCCUAGACUAUGGAAAACUAUGUAACCUUUGGAAAUAAAUUGAGAGGUACAGCACUGAAAAAAGAUAUAUUGUUUGGCAUAUAUAUUGUAUUCUUUGAGGUUUCUGUGAUAAAACAUUGGUUGGAGAAAUACAAGAGCCAUGGAGCAUUCAAGAAGUAUAAACAUGACUGCAGAGCAUUGAAAAUAGAUAGUGCUCCAGUCAGGCAUUGAUGGUUGAGGCAGACUGCAUCUGUUCAUACAUAGAAAAGAAAAAAAAAUUGAUGAAGGUUAACAUAGAACUAUUGUGAAAGUUGGAGCACACUUGAAGGGGUGGCAGGAAGACCACUAGUAUGAAUUAAAAAUUUAUGAAUUGGAUGGCAGCAAUUAAUCAAAGUGGCCUAGGCAAAAUAAAAACAUGAAACAAUACAUAAUACUGUGUAUACAAAUCAGUAUAGACACAUGCUUUGUUAUGUAUUGAGUACAGUAAGCUUAACCAGGCCACAUGCUCACUAAAAAUUGUGUGAAAGGAUUUAACUUGGGCUACUGCUCUAUUUAUGGACAGAUUGAAAAAUGCUGAUAUGCAGCCUUUUUUUUCUAGAGUAUUUUUUCCUGUAAAACUCUGAUUUUGUAUGCUCUGAGAUGGCUACUUUUCGUGUGUCAACAAUUUUCUGUUAUCAAAGUUGACUCUUGCAGUACUCUCAUGGCCCUGGAGUAUUUUAACCCUUCAUAUUCCAUGGUGAUCAAACAUUGACUUCCACAUCUUUGUCAGAUAAAUAAACAGUAAAAUUUUGUUGGGUUUCCAAUGACGGUGAGCUCGUACAUGUCAAUGUUUGCUGAUGAUGCAAAGCUAAUGAGGAGAGUAAGAACUGAAGAGGAAAGUUGGUGCUGCAAGGAGAGGCACCUAAACUUCAGAAGUGGGCAGAUAAAUGACUGCUGCAAUUCAAUCCAAGUAAAUGCAAAGUAAUGAAAAUAGAUGAGAGAGACAAGAGACCUAUAUGGGGAAGGCAGUUACAAGAAACAAUAAGAGAAGAACUUGGAAGUACACACAACCCCAACACUAACACCAGAAACUUGUGUGAACAGGAUAGCAUCAUUAACAUAUGGGAAGCUGGUAAACAUAAGAACAUCAUUUAAUAUAAAUGAGACGGCUUUUAAGUCUAUACACACUACCCAUGUAAGACCAUUACUCGAGUAUGCAGCUCCAGCAUGGAACCCAUACCUUGCAAAGCAUAAACAGAAAUGUGAGAAAGUUUAGAGGCUUGCAAUUAGAUUAGUGCAGUACAGAAUUGAAAGGCCUUGGCCUCACAAACUUAGAGAGGAUAUGUUAACUACAUACAAGAUCUUGAAGGGAAUGGAUAAAGUGGAUAAAGGAAGCAUACUUAAAUAAAAAAGAAAAAAAAGAGGUAAGACAAGGGGACAUUGGUGGAAGCUGGGUAUGCAGUCGAGUGGAAGAGAUGCAAGGAAAUAUUUGUUCCAUGUAUAGGUAGAAAGAAAGUAGAUUGAAUUAAGUGAAGAGUUUGUUGAAGCCAGUUCCAUCCACAACUUUUAAAAAGUACGAUGAAAAUAUUAAUAUCGAGUGGGGUAAUUAGAGUGCCAGGUAUAAACGGCUAGCAGACAGGGGCAUAAAGAGUUGAUCUCGGUUCCCCAUAGUUCAGUAAACGCAUUGGUGUUGACUCUAAUCUCGCAAUCGCUGCUGCUAAAGAAACUAUUCCAAGCUGUCUUAUCUUCCAAAAAUUAAUUACAGUACUCAGAUCUCUACCCUGCGAUUCAUAACAUGCCCGGUGACAUUUGGCAGGAUAGAUGGUUAGCUGUUGUGAAUAACAAAUUAUAUACUAUCAAUUGUGACCAAUCCCUGGAACCUUUCCCCCAUCACUGAAAUAAAGUGGGAAAUAUCUCUGGCUAGAUUGUGUAUUAGCCACACACAAUUAACUCACAUGCACUGAAUGUAAUGGAGAGACUUAUACUGUACCUUAUUGUCAGAGCAGCAUAGGUUCUACAAACAGUCUAGUGCCUCCUCAUAGAAUGUUCUGAUUUUCAGAUUGAUUGGAAAUCUUGGCGAUUUUGCGUUCCCUUUGUUCCUUUGAAUUAUAUUUUUCUUGGGAAAAUUUUCGGGGUAUCUGAUUCCUUUGAAAUCAUUUCGAGUCAUGUCUUCUGCUCUUAUAUUGUCAUCCUGAAAGAUAUUUAGGAACUGUUGAAUAUUAUGUAACACAGUGUUAUAUCUUUCUGAUCUUAUUGCUUUCUUUUGAUAAUUACUUACCUCCACAAUGGUAUGUAGUACUCAUCUAUUUGUGCUUGUGGGGGGGUGGGGGUGGUUUGAGCUACGGCCGUUUGGUCCCAAGCUGCUGCUCUUUGGUCCUGAUCUGAUCUCAGUGCUAGCUGCACUGAGAUAGAUCUAGUAGUUUCAGACUGUUAUAUGAUGAAAAGUGCUGGGUAGAUGGUACACCACGAAUGUAGCUCUCAUCCUGUAACGACACUUAGAGGUAAUUACACAUAAAUCACAUCAGCCUUAGGAGUACUUAACCAGCCAGCAACCAGAGAUCAAAACCUGACCCCCCUCCUUUCCCUGCACCUAAAGCAGGGAAUUCAUAAUCACCCUCACUGAAGAAACAAACUCCAGGAUGAAAGUGAAUCAAAACUGACAUCUGUAAGAUUCACAGAAAGUAAACAAACAAUGCAGCAGUGAACUAGGCAAAUGGCCAGUAGUUAGGUCAUACCCCUAGUUACAACUGGCCACUGCCAGGUGGCAGCACCAUGGGAGCUGCCAGCUCCCCCAUGUCAACAAUACUCAGUCCUCUGUCUGGUGUUGUGCAUGUCUGAUGUGCUUUUGAGUCACCAUCUCUCUGAGUCAUGGGUUUUCUAGGUAAGUGUUGAUCAUCCUUUGGACAUUCUUUGUCCUGAGGAGGCUCAUUUAUUUGUGUAAGUUUUCAAUAUUUAACAUUUGUUUCACUUCCAUGUCUUGACAAGACUCAUUUGGGUGAACUUUGGAAACAUCAUCUUGAGCUGUAUGUGCUUAGGACAGCCCUUUCCCCAGGUGCUGAUUGAUGUUGCUCCUGCCCUGACAGGUUUGCUUUCCUGGUGUCUUUGGAUGUUCCAUAGAGGCCAGCCUCGUGUGGAGGGUGCCUUGCCAUGAAUAGAGCAAACGGAGCAACCUUGGACUCCUCUGUGGAGCUCUGGGUUGGUCAGGUCUCCCAUCUCUUUGCUGGGUGCCCCAGCUAUUGUCGGUUCCUGUGCGGAACUUGUCAGCACUAGUGUGCGCGCUUGCACUCUCAAGUUUGGGUUUGAAAUUAAAUAGAAACAAAUGUCACAUAUUGGAAUGUGGGAUAGGGUUGAACAGGACACACACACACACACACACACAAUCAACAAAUUACAGUAUCUGGAAAGAUAUUAAAACCCUCUAGCAAGGAGAGAUCUAGGUGGUAGAUCAAAUGCGGUAUUUAAACCGCAUUUAGCAAGGAGAGCUCUAGGUGGUAGAUCAAAUGCGGUAUUUAAACCGCAUUUAGCAAGGAGAGAUCUAGGUGGUAGAUCAAAUGCGGUAUUUAAACCGCGUUUAGCAAGGAGAGAUUUAGGUGGUAGAUCAAAUGCGGUAUUUAAACCGCAUUUAGCAAGGAGAGAUCUAGGUGGUAGAUCAAAUGCGGUAUUUAAACUGCGUUUAAAUACAGUACUGUAUAAGAAAGGAGAAAUAUUAAAGAAAAUGUUCAUAUAAUUUGUGAGACCAAAACUGAAAUGUGUGGCAGUGGUGUGGUGCCAAUAUCUCGAGAAGCACAAACAAAUCAUAAAGGGGUACAAGGACUUAAUAUUAAAUGGCCCUGGAAUUUAAAAACAUGAUGUAUGAGGAGAGAUUGGAGGCAUUAAACAUGUAAGGCUAGAAGACAGUUAGAAAAGAGAUGAUCACUACAUUCACAAUAUAGUAUACUGUACUGUAAUAACAAGAUUCAACAAAUUAAUCAAGAAUUUUUUAAAUCUGCAACUUAAAUGUGUCAUAUGUUCAAAGGAAAAAAAAGUGCCAAAAAAAUAAGAAAAUUAUAUUUUUGCAAACACUGGUAGACAGUUGGAACAAGUGAGGUGGGGGAGGCUAAAACCGUUAAGUUUCAAAGCGUUAUAUGACAGAGUACUGGAAAGACGGGACACCAUGAGCGUAGCUCUCAUCCUGUAACUACACUUGGGUAAUUACUUAAUUAUACACACUAAACACAUUUAUAAGUGCAUAUACAGUGUGUGUGUGUGUACAAACAAGCCUGUAUAAUUUAGUUUACAUUUUUAUUAUAAAAUAAGAAAACGAAGCACUGCUAAGAGUAAAUUUUUAAAUAAAUUAUUUGCUUAAUUACUAUUAAUGAUUUAAGGAAUGCUAACCUAGCUUAUAACUAUAUCAUAUAAUGACUUCCCAAUUUGAUUAAAAUGAUUUUAGAUUUGGUUGGAAAAUGCUGAGUAUAAAUUUCACUAAUUACAUAAUUUGUCUUAAAUUGUUUGUUUUGCAUUUGUAAUUUUACAAAACAAUUUUUUGUUAAAUUAUUAAUUUAACAAAAAAAGAACGAAUAUAAAUGCUCCUGAUAUUCAUGUACAGUAUUUUUACUACAUACUGUACUGUACUGUUUAUCAAUAAUUUUUGUAUUCUUAAUGAUUAUCAAAAGCUCGUGUCCUUUGAAUGUUAUUACAGUAUUGUAUCUACUGUAUGUUUCUGUAAAUGUCUGUGUUGCACCAGGUCAUUUUGAAAUUGAUGUAGUCGUCAGCUCUUUCUUGCAACUACCCCUGAAGGAUUGACUCUGACCUGAAAUUGUCUCAUUGGACUAUUCCAUUCUCUGGCAUUUCAGUAUUAAGAUCGCUUCACAUUUAAAAUGGCUACCUUACCUUGAGGUUACCUUGAGGUGCUUCCGGGGCUUAGCGUCCCCGCGGCCCGGUCGUCGACCAGGCCUCCUGGUUGCUGGACUGAUCAACCAGGCUGUUGGACGCGGCUGCUCGCAGCCUGUAUGAAUUUCAAGGCUAGGUCUAGGUCUCGGUAGUUGGUCUUUAUUAUAAUGAUUCAAAUUAUUGAAUCAAUUACUGUGCAGUCAGAAUGUGUGUUUGGUGUUAUUGAGAUGAAAUAACAUAUGGUAUAUUUUUAUAUUCAAAAUAUGAUGUGCUCAAGAUGCUCAGAAAUGAUUGAUGAAAAUGGGGCUAACUGAAGUAUGAAAUUGUAGGAGGCAUUGCACAAAACAAUACAAAGUUUCAUGCUUAUUGAAAUUUUGAGAUUCUAGGUAAAUUACUGUGUUUUGUAUAGAAGUUUGUAUGUGUCAGGAAGUUUGUAAUGAAAAUGUUGUGAACAUCUUGUAUAGCUAUGAUUGAAGAAAUUUUAUGUUAAAGGAAGUGCAUCUAAUUAUGCUCUUUGACACUAGUGGUGUUGAAUGUAGAAACAGAGAAUGGGGAAAAUUUGGAGUAUAUAUUUGUGAUAAAUUGUUUUAUCAAACAGUUAUUGUACUUACUUUACAAGUUCACUUUGUCACAGAUGUCAACCUAAGCUUGUGAGUGUUUACAAGUCUGGGUGCCUAAAAUAUUUAUUAUUACUGUACUAGGUAACCAUAUCUCAAGAGCCAUUAAGAUUAGGUGUUAAUUUUAACUUGGAAAUGUUUAGUCAUGAAAUGAAGAGCAUAUUGCCUGUGUGCAUUAUGAGCAAGCCCAGCCACUACAAAAUAUAGAUGUUUCUCUUAAUGUCUAUGUAAGUCUUGUAUAGUCUCUAGGUAUGGUGUUUUAGAAGUUAUAUUAAGAUAGAAAAAAGUGUGGGAAAGAGUCAAAAUUUGUAAUUAUAAUGCGGUCAUUUUAAAAUUAAUGAAUAUAAAACUUUUUAAAGAAGUUAAUAUUUUGUACAAAUUCAAAUUCCUUCAGAUGUGGAGAUAUAUUGUGAAAGUCAAGUUUAAGCACGAGGUGUUGAUGUAUUGGAAAGGUUAAAAGCACUAAAGUUUGGAUGCGUUUAUUAGGGAUGAAUGAAAGAUGGCAGAUGUACAAAUUAAAAUGUACAAUAGUGCACCCAAAUAGAAGAGCAAGGCAAGGAGAGUGUAUACAUAAAUGUUACAUGAUCAUGUUUGAAUACCACUGUCUUGUACAAGACAAUCGUCUUAAUUAAUUAGAGAAGUAAACAAAAUUGCUACACAUUUAGGAAAAUUACUAUUUAUGAAGAGAAUUGUUCAGGAAAGUAAAGAAGGAAGCUUAUAUGUGAAUAGAAAGGACAUGGGAUGAAGUAAUUCACAGUUAGGUUAGCAGUAUAUUAUUAUUUUUAUCAGUGAAACUGAUUUUAUAGGUAAAUGUUGCUUGUAUUGUUAGCAAUAGUUUCUAAAAAGACGUUCCAGGAAGAUUUCAAACUGUUGUAUAUAGGUCAGGAUAUAUUUAUCAUUUAUUAUAUUACCUGUGUUUAAGAAUACAACAUUUGGAUGUUUUGAGCAUUACUAAUAUGAUUUGUCGGUGAAAGGCAACCUAUGUACAGUACAUAUGAACAUUAUGCCUAUACUGAGGUCCCUCUAAGGUCAAACUACUGCUCCUUCCCAGGAUGCAACAGCACAAUAGUUGACUAGCUCCUGGGUGAUUAGGUGAAAGGAAAAGUACCCAACCAUUUGUUCCCCACCUGUAAUUCAAGUGUGGGAUUCCCAGUUGAGUCAAGAAUGAACACAUCACAAACCUUACUGGUGUGGUGCCAUAAAGAUAAAUGCAGUCAUUAUACAUUAAUCAAUACAUAUAUUGUAAGUAUUUAUUGAUGAGUAUAUUUCAUAUUGUAGCAGAGUUAAACACAAUAAUUUUAUGCAUUACUCAAAAAAGCUAUAGAAGAGUGAAAUAUACUGUACAUUUAUAAUGGGGUAUGUUGGAAAAGACUAUUUUUUUACCUGAAUUUACCCGAGGGUCACCAACAGUAGUGGCCUCGAUGAGAACAGGAGGCCGGCAGCUUGUCGAAGGUCCUCCCUACAUGCCUUGAUCUUUCCCAGUUGAAUUUUAAAAUUUAACAUUGUUGGCAUUUACAGCUCUGGUGGUUAGGGAGUUCCAUGGGUUUAUAACCCUGUGGGUUUUUAUCACCCAUUUAAUGACUGGUAAUUUAUUUUUUUAUUAAUUGUUGCAGAAAAUUAAAUUUUUGCAGUACUGUUUGUUCACUAAAUGUCAGUAAGCAAUAUUUAGAUAAGAAAACAGUACUAAGUACAGAAUAUAAAUUGUUGUAACAGUUUACCCCUUAAUUCCAAUACUAAGUGCAUUAAUGUUCAUUUUUUUAACUACGGGCUCACCAUAGCCCGUGCUACCUGGAAAUUUUUGUUCUAGGUAGCGAAUCUUAAACAUUUAACAACAUGAAGUUCAUUUAGUCCACUAGAUAUUGUACUUAUAGAGUAUUGGUAUAUUGAAGAAAUGUUCUAAUACUACACAGAUCAUUAGUGUUCGUUCAUUAUCACUAAAAACUUGAUUCCACAUCUUGCAGAAUGUAAAUGACGGCUCUUAGUGAAAGUUGUUCAUUCUAGAGAAUUUGUUAUAUCAAGAUAUAGUACUGUAUUUUAAAAGAUUUCCACUGAUGAAAAUAAUAUACAGAAUGAUUAGCAAAGUGAAAAGUAAAAAAAAGAAAAAAGUAAAGUUUAUCUUACUGAAGACAUCUAGGCUUGAAUUUUUUCUAACUAUUUAAUUUGCAUGAUGCUGCCUAUAAUAUUUGUAUUAUUAUUAUUAUUAUUAUUAUUAUUAUUAAGGUAACUGGUCUAUAUUGAAUACCAACAGUGCUGGUAUCAAGUUGUUGGUAAUAUUCUGACAUGAUGCUAAAUAAUCUGAGGCUUGGUGCCCUCAUUUGAUAAUUCCUUACUUACCAACAGGGAAA